CGCGCAGGCGGUCAGAUAAGUCGAAUGUGAAAGCCCCCGGCUCAACUGGGAGGGUCAUUCGAUACUGUUCGACUCGAAGGCAGGAGAGGGAAGCGGAAUUCCCGGUGUAGUGGUGAAAUGCGUAGAUAUCGGGAGGAACACCAGUGGCGAAGGCGGCUUCCUGGCCUGUUCUUGACGCUGAGGCGCGAAAGCUAGGGAGCAAACG
rnacentral:rRNA from 1 species